CUGGCGGCGUGCCUAAUACAUGCAAGUCGAACGGUCUUUUCUAUGGAAGCUUGCUUCCACUGAGAAGAUAGUGGCGAACGGGUGAGUAACACGUGGGUAACCUGCCCAUAAGAGGGGGAUAACAUCCGGAAACGGGUGCUAAUACCGCAUAGUUUUCUUGAUCGCAUGAUUGAGAAAGGAAAGACGGCCUUUGUGCUGUCGCUUAUGGAUGGACCCGCGGCGUAUUAGUUAGUUGGUGAGGUAACGGCUCACCAAGACGAUGAUACGUAGCCGACCUGAGAGGGUGAUCGGCCACAUUGGGACUGAGACACGGCCCAAACUCCUACGGGAGGCAGCAGUAGGGAAUCUUCCGCAAUGGACGAAAGUCUGACGGAGCAACGCCGCGUGAGUGAAGAAGGUUUUCGGAAUCGUAAAACUCUGUUGUCAGAGAAGAACAAGUUGGAGAGUAACUGCUCCAGCCUUGACGGCAUCUGACCAGAAAGCCACGGCUAACUACGUGCCAGCAGCCGC
rnacentral:rRNA from 1 species